rnacentral:rRNA from 1 species
ACGUAGGGACCAAGCGUUGUUCGGAUUUACUGGGCGUAAAGGGCGCGUAGGCGGCCUUCUAAGUCGGACGUGAAAUCCCCGGGCUCAACCCGGGAACUGCGUCCGAGACUGGAAGGCUCGAAUCCGGGAGAGGGAUGUGGAAUUCCAGGUGUAGCGGUGAAAUGCGUAGAUAUCUGGAGGAACACCGGUGGCGAAGGCGGCAUCCUGGACCGGUAUUGACGCUGAGGCGCGAAAGCCAGGGGAGCAAACGGGA